rnacentral:rRNA from 1 species
GUGUCAGCCGCCGCGGUAAUACGUAGGGCGCGAGCGUUAAUCGGAAUUACUGGGCGUAAAGCGUGCGCAGGCGGUUUGGCAAGUCAGAUGUGAAAUCCCCGAGCUCAACUUGGGAACUGCGUUUGAAACUGCCAGACUAGAAUAUGUCAGAGGGGGGUAGAACUCCACGUAUAGCAGUGAAAUGCGUAGAGAUGUGGAGGAAUACCAAUGGCGAAGGCAGCCCCCUGGGAUAAUAUUGACGCUCAUGCACGAAAGCGUGGGGAGCAAACAGGAUUAGAAACCCCUGUAGUCC